rnacentral:rRNA from 1 species
AGUGAACGCUGGCGGUAGGCCUAACACAUGCAAGUCGAACGGCAGCACAGUAAGAGCUUGCUCUUACGGGUGGCGAGUGGCGGACGGGUGAGGAAUACAUCGGAAUCUACUUUUUCGUGGGGGAUAACGUAGGGAAACUUACGCUAAUACCGCAUACGACCUACGGGUGAAAGCAGGGGAUCUUCGGACCUUGCGCGAUUGAAUGAGCCGAUGUCGGAUUAGCUAGUUGGCGGGGUAAAGGCCCACCAAGGCGACGAUCCGUAGCUGGUCUGAGAGGAUGAUCAGCCACACUGGAACUGAGACACGGUCCAGACUCCUACGGGAGGCAGCAGUGGGGAAUAUUGGACAAUGGGCGCAAGCCUGAUCCAGCCAUACCGCAUGGGUGAAGAAGGCCUUCGGGUUGUAAAGCCCUUUUGUUGGGAAAGAAAAGCAGCAGGUUAAUACCCCGCUGUUCUGACGGUACCCAAAGAAUAAGCACCGGCCAACUUCGUG